rnacentral:rRNA from 1 species
UUGAAGCGAAGUGCUGAUUGCCGGAGACGGUAAUCGAGUCCUUCGGACUUUAAACACUCACGGAUAGAGAAUGAAGCUAUGUAAAUAGUCUUUGUUCGAUUCCGUUGAGUAAUCAAGAUCGAACUGUAGAGUUUGAUCCUGGCUCAGAUUGAACGCUGGCGGCAUGCCUUACACAUGCAAGUCGAACGGUUAACAGGCCGCAAGGUGCUGACGAGUGGCGAACGGGGUGAGUAAUGUAUCGGAACGUGCCCAGUCGUGGGGGGAUAACUGCUCGAAAGAGCAGCUAAUACCGCAUACGACCUGAGGGUGAAAGCGGGGGGAUCGCAAGACCUCGCGCGAUUGGAGCGGCCGAUAUCAGAUUAGGUAGUUGGUGGGGUAAAAGGCCACCAAGCCAACGAUCUGUAGCUGGUCUGAGAGGACGACCAGCCACACUGGGACUGAGACACGGCCCAGACUCCUACGGGAGGCAGCAGUGGGGAAUUUUGGGACAAUGGACGCAAGUCUGAU